GAUCUCACUUUAGCAGCACAUAUACUAAAAUUUGAACAAUACAGAGAAGAUUUGCAUGGCCCCUGCUCAAGGAUGACAUGCAAAUUUAUGAGCAGUCCACAUUUUUA